CCUACGGGAGGCUGCAGUGGGGAAUUGUUCGCAAUGGGCGCAAGCCUGACGACGCAACGCCGCGUGGAGGAUGAAGACCUUCGGGUCGUAAACUCCUUUCGACCGAGAUGAAUUCCCGCCGACCUAACACGUCGGCGGGGUGACAGUAUCGGGAGAAGCAGCCCCGGCUAACUCCGUGCCAGCAGCCGCGGUAAUACGGGGGGGGCAAGCGUUGUUCGGAAUUACUGGGCGUAAAGGGUUCGUAGGUGGCCAACUAAGUCAGACGUGAAAUCCCUCAGCUUAACUGGGGAACUGCGUCUGAGACUGGAUGGCUCGAGUGCAGGAGAGGAACGCGGAAUUCCAGGUGUAGCGGUGAAAUGCGUAGAUAUCUGGAGGAACACCGGUGGCGAAGGCGGCGUUCUGGACUGCUACUGACACUGAGGAACGAAAGCCAGGGGAGC
rnacentral:rRNA from 1 species